rnacentral:rRNA from 1 species
UACAGAGGGUGCGAGCGUUAAUCGGAAUUACUGGGCGUAAAGGGCGCGCAGGCGGCCGCAUUUGUCAGGCGUGAAAGCCCCGGGCUUAACCUGGGAACUGCGUUUGAUACGGUGUGGCUAGAGUCCGGAAGAGGAGAGUGGAAUUCCUGGUGUAGCGGUGAAGUGCGCAGAUAUCAGGAAGAACACCCGUGGCGAAGGCGGCUCUCUGGGACGGUACUGACGCUGAGACGCGAAAGCGUGGGGAGCGAACAGG